AUGGAGGUGGCAGGAGAAGCCAAAGAGAGGGCCGGCGGAGAAUCCGCGGAGCGCCGCCGCAAGGAGGCCAAAUCCUCUUCUGGGAUCUACGACGAUUCAGCCACGUCGGAGCAGAUCGCGGGGAACGAAGACGACAACUCAAUGGAUCAUUACGGGGAGCUGUUCCUGCCCGAGUACUUGACGGACGAGGAGAUUAUUCAAGAGUACCGUAUAGGCUGGGAAUGCCGGUGCUAUGGCAUGUUCGGCGGCUUCAAAGAUGAGACGACGAUCAAGAGCAUGCUGACCACAUACAAAACCAUCCCACAUGCUUUGGUCUCCCACACCUUGCAAGUCUACUCCAUCAAAGUCGAGAAGCCGAAACUCGGGUGGCCACUUCGUGUCUAUGGCAUGGUUGCUGCCCGAGACCAUGUGGAUUAUAAUCGCAACUUUCUCUUCAAUCGCACAAGCGAUAACUGCCAAAUCAUUACUGCAGAUGUAUACAUUCCUCUUCCCUGCUUGUGGUGGGUUCAUUGGCUUUGCCAUAUAAAUUGUUGCUUAUACUAUGGUUGCCAAUUGCAGGAGCCCUACUUGACGCUGACUGGCCCCUCUGGCGCAAUUCUGUCCCUUGAACCUGUUGACUUUGAAGUUGAUCUUAAGUUUAAGAGAGGGUCUGGAGAUGGAAAAGCAUUGAUCAACCAAGUCCUCCGAUACCAACGGAGCCCCGGUCCUUUCGGUACAAUCUUGGACAACAACCUUUGCACCAUAAGAUUGCAUUGGAAAGUUUUUUGCCACGGUGUGGCCUUCCCCCUUGAAGAAUUUGUGUUGCUUGCUUUUCCAGACGGAGAUAAUCCGCCGAUGGAUCAAGAUGGUAACAUUCGUCUGUCAAGGCGUGUUGUUUCUGUAGAUGUGAACCAAAACUUCCAAGUUUCUGUACAGGCCUACUCUGCAUGUGGUAGCUUGAAAGUACCCAUUGCAAUAGGUGAUGCUGUGUUCGAAUCCAAAAAGGACAGCGGCGUAACAGAGAAAGAAUGUGACAUUGGUGCUAGCUGCAGGGUCAAGAUUAAAGUGGCUUGGUCUCUCCUUAUUUGGUCGAAGCGUCUACUCCAGGGUUAA
rnacentral:rRNA from 1 species